ensembl:lncRNA
GAUAAACUUAAAAUGUUUUAUAGUCAGUAUUAGAUACAAAACCAAACCAAAUAGUGAUACUGCAAUUAAGUUAUUAAUUCGAUACUCAUGUAAUAAAUUCAGUAAUAUACUCCCUAACACUGGAUCUUCUUUCUCGAGUUUCUUUAUUCCAGGCGUCUGUCUCUCCUCACUCCAGACAAAAGCAGCACGUGGAAUCUUCAUAUCAGUCAUGUGACCUCUUCAUGGCCGAUGCUGUCGUCACUGAUAAUUGCCCCCUCCAGAUUGUCAACUUGCAUGAAUUAGCAACUGGGCAAGACGAGCACGGCUCUGUGGCAGCUGGGAUAAUUUGCACAGAGUGACAAAACAAAAGGCAUGGAGAGGUUACUUACAGGAGGAACAUGCCUGUAUCAAACCCUGUUCAUGACAUCAUCCUCUAGGAAGUAGCAUCGUUUUGGAGGGAAAACAACAGCAGAAACAAUAGUCAAAAUAUCGUAGCAAUAACGAUUUUUCAGUUGGUGAGUUGAAGGAGC